CACCUGUGCACCUCUUGUAGACUUGGAUUGACUUUCCGAGGCAACUCGGUCGGGAGGAUUGCUGGCAUCAGCUGGCUUUCUUUGCAUUUCCGGGUCUACGUUUUUCAUAUACCCCAUUGUAUGUAACAGAAUGUAAUAUUGGGCCCUUGUGCCUAUAAACCUUAUACAACUUUCAGCAACGGAUCUCUUGGCUCUCGCAUCGAUGAAGAACGCAGCGAAAUGCGAUAAGUAAUGUGAAUUGCAGAAUUCAGUGAAUCAUCGAAUCUUUGAACGCACCUUGCGCUCCUUGGUAUUCCGAGGAGCAUGCCUGUUUGAGUGUCAUUAAAUUCUCAACCUUUAUCACUUUUGCUGAUAAUGGCUUGGAUAUGGGGGUCUAUUUUGCUGGCUUCCUUACGGAUGGUCAGCUCCCCUUAAAUGCAUUAGCCGGUGCCCCGCGUGGACUGUCUAUUGGUGUGAUAAUUAUCUACGCCGUGGACAUCUGCAAUCAUAUGGGUUUGCACUGCUUCCAACCGUCUGUUCAAUCAGACAAUAUAUGACAAUUGAC
rnacentral:rRNA from 1 species